UUUAUCAUUUUGUUUGCUGGACAUACACUUAGUCUUUAUUAAUAUAUAUCAUUGAUUUUGUUUGCUGGACAUACACUUAGUCUUUAUUAAUAUAUAUCAUUGAUUUUGUUUGCUGGACAUACACUUAGUCUUUAUUCAUAUAUUUUGUUUGCUGGACAUACACUUAGUCUUUAUUCAUAUAUAUCAUUGAUUUUGUUUGCUGGACAUACACUUAGUCUUUAUUCAUAUAUAUACAUA
rnacentral:lncRNA from 1 species